GGGGGCCCGCACAAGCGGCGGAGCAUGCGGAUUAAUUCGAUGCAACGCGAAGAACCUUACCAAGGCUUGAUAUAUAGAGGAAACGGCUGGAAACAGUCGCCCCGCAAGGUCUCUAUACAGGUGGUGCAUGGUUGUCGUCAGCUCGUGUCGUGAGAUGUUGGGUUAAGUCCCGCAACGAGCGCAACCCUCGUCCUAUGUUGCCAGCACGUAAUGGUGGGAACUCAUGGGAUACUGCCGGGGUCAACUCGGAGGAAGGUGGGGAUGACGUCAAAUCAUCAUGCCCCUUAUGUCUUGGGCUUCACGCAUGCUACAAUGGCCGGUACAAAGGGCUGCAAUACCGCAAGGUGGAGCGAAUCCCAAAAAGCCGGUCUCAGUUCGGAUUGAGGUCUGCAACUCGACCUCAUGAAGUCGGAGUCGCUAGUAAUCGCAGAUCAGCAACGCUGCGGUGAAUACGUUCCCGGGCCUUGUACACACCGCCCGUCAAGUCAUGAAAGUCGGUAACACCCGAAGCCAGUGGCCAAACCCGCAAGGGAUGGAGCUGUCGAAGGUGGGAUCGGUGAUUAGGACUAAGUCGUAACAAGGUAACCGUAAGGGC
rnacentral:rRNA from 1 species